UGUGUAUCAGUACAUGGCAUAUCAAUAAGCGGAGGAAAAGAAACUAACAAGGAUUCCCUUAGUAACGGCGAGUGAAGCGGGAAGAGCUCAAAUUUGAAAUCUUCAAGGUUCUACCUUGACGAAUUGUAGUUUAUAGAAGUGUUUUCUGUUAGUGGAGUGGCAAAAGUUCUUUGGAAUAGGACAUCAUAGAGGGUGAGAAUCCCGUAUUUGGUCAUUCCUCCUAGCGUUGUGAUACACUUUCAACGAGUCGGAUUGUUUGGGAAUGCAGUCCAAAAUGGGUGGUAAAUUUCAUCUAAAGCUAAAUAUUGGCGAGAGACCGAUAGCGAACAAGUACCGUGAGGGAAAGAUGAAAAGAACUUUGAAAAGAGAGUUAAACAGUACGUGAAAUUGUCAAAAGGGAAGCGUUUGACACCAGUGUUGUUUUUCCGAAAAUCAAUUACGAAUGUUUUGUUUUUAAGAAGUUAUGACUUCAUCGGCUUGCUUCUUUCUUUACGAAACUUUCUUAAUGCACUUUUCGGUUAACAAGUCAACAUCAAUUUCUUUUGUUGUAAAAGGGUAUGAGGAAGGUGGCUUUCUUUUCGGAGAAAGUGUUUAUAGCCUUGUAGCCUCUGCAAUCGGAGAGAUUGAGGUCUGCAGCGUAGAUCCUUCGGGGUUAGAUACAUUUGUGCUAAGUUAUAGCUUUUCAUAGACAACUUGUUGACUAUGUUUAGUCUUGUAGCUUACUCGCUUAUGCUAUUUUACCUACGCUUAGGAUGUUGACAGCAGUAUAGACUGU
rnacentral:rRNA from 1 species